GAUGGUUCCCGGCUAGCCCUAUGAAUUGAAGAUUUGGAUUAAACCCUAAACGAAACACGGCAAUUUAUGUAAAGCCUAGCGAUUGAUUUCUGUCAUUCUAAUUAGGUUACCACAUCACGAAAUCAUUAUCAGCCUCCUCUCUUUCUAACUGCGUUUGAUUCCUUUCAAAACCCUAGCUGUGUUCGAUUCCUCUCUGCUAUUCAUCGACCCAGAUCUGGAAUUUUAAUUCACAUCCAUCAGUUUUUUGCUUAAUUCGCAUAUAUAGGUGGCAAAGGAAACUAGGGUUCCGGUGAAUAUCAAAGCCGAGUAAGGUCAUUACAGCUUGAAUUGUGGCAUAUUAUUGGUCCGUGUGGGCUUUCCUGGUGACAUCUUGCGCUCCAAACCUGUUGGUCUGCAGUACCAGAGUACAUGAAAACUGAAUGGCGUAUGGUUGCUCUCUAUAUUGUGGUUUUGUUCGUGUCUUGGUAGCAUGCUGCUGUGCUGCUGCAUUUCAUAUGAUAGGAGUCCUAGCAUGAGCCGAAAUUGAAGGAGAUUGCUAAUUUGUUAGCCUGCAAAUGGUAUCUAAAAAUGCUUUUUUGUUUACCGACGGUCGCCUCGAGUACAUGGAACUGGAAAAUGCUUUGUUAUCCUCUCGGUUCUCCCUCAGACUUUCAGCUACUGUCGAGAAAGGUUUCAUUAGAGCAGAGACUAUGGCAUAUAACGAUUUUGUUGCUGAUGGUUCAUCGUCAGCUGCAAGGGAGAAAGGACUUAUUCAGAAUAGGCUUUAAAUGGGUCGAAUGAGUCAUACUUGUUCAUAUUAUUGACACACAUGUGGAUCAUCUUGAGGAUGUUGUUACUAAACUUGAGACUGAGCUUGAUUCUGUAGAAGUUGAUUUGGAUAAAGGUGGCUUUUCUUUAAAGAGACAAUUGUUGGAUGACAGAAGAUUUCCAAAAAUGCAUCUAGAAUUGCAACGCCUUCUGCAGGUGAUUGCACACGGGGAACAAGUGUUCCCGGGGGUGAAAGAAAAGUGUUCCGUAAAAGAUUGGUUUGGAAAUGAAGACAUCAUCACUUGAAGAGUUGAUUGGUCGACUCAGACGACUAAAGGAGAAUGUUGGAUUCAUAAGCAAUCGUGUGACAGCUGUCCAAGCGGGUCUCGACAGCUGGCAGGCUGAACAAAUCAACAGAAAACUAUACUGCCUGUCUUUCCUCUCCAUCAUAUUCCUUCCUCUAUCCAUCAUCACAGGAGAGGGAGAAGAAUCACUUAAAAUGGUCGGCGGGACCUUGAUCAAGUUGCUGGGCGAAUUGUUGUUGCUGUUUGAUUCCAGUUAGGUGAUCCUACGCGGCAAAAAAAUGGGGCUAACGUUCAUGAAACUCUUUAGUCGGCCGU